rnacentral:rRNA from 1 species
CCUACGGGAGGCAGCAGUAGGGAAUCUUCCACAAUGGGCGCAAGCCUGAUGGAGCAACACCGCGUGAGUGAAGAAGGGUUUCGGCUCGUAAAGCUCUGUUAUUGGAGAAGAACGUGCGUGAGAGUAACUGUUCACGCAGUGACGGUAUCCAACCAGAAAGUCACGGCUAACUACGUCACAGCAGCCGCGGUAAUACGUAGGUGGCAAGCGUUAUCCGGAUUUAUUGGGCGUAAAGCGAGCGCAGGCGGUUGCUUAGGUCUGAUGUGAAAGACUUCAGCUUAACCGAAGAAGGGCACAGGAAACCGGGCGACUUGAGUGCAGAAGAGGAAAGUGGAACUCCAGGUGUAGCAGUGGAAUGCGUAGAUAUAUGGAAGAACACCAGUGGCGAAGGCGGCUGUCUGGUCUGCAACUGACGCUGAGGCUCGAAGGCAAGGGUAGCGAACGGGAUUAGAUACCCGAGUAGUC